rnacentral:lncRNA from 1 species
AUGCCAACAGUAUGUACAUUUGCAAAAAGUAGAACCAACAAUUUGGACGACUACUCUAUCUUCCAGGUCAAAAUGCAAAUGCAUAUGAGGAGGACGACGAGCGGACGACAAAGCCUUGCCUCGCUGCUCGCCGCUACCGCGCCCGACUGCCGCCACCCCGUUGGUGAAGAGGCGGCGCUGGCGGUUGCGGACGGUGACAGCGCGGCCCUCGGCGAGGACGUGGGGGAGGUAGGCGUUCUCGACAAGUGCGUGGUGGCGGUGGUGGAAGGUGGCGCCGCGGAAGUCGUCGGCGACAACCUCGUGGUCGUCGACGGCGAGGGCCAAGCGGUCGGCACCCUCGGCGAGGUCUUGACGGCCACCUCGCUGCUCGCCGCCACGCCUGGCCACCGU